rnacentral:lncRNA from 12 species
UCUGUAGUCAACCUGCCUAAUUUCAGCACACAAGGCAAUAGCCACAUUGCCUUGUACUUGUGAAAAUUGAUUGGUUUUUUUUUUCAAUAUGUUUGUGCGAUAGAUUGUAUAAACCUGGAUUUGUGCUGAAUAUCGGAUUAAAAAAACCAUAAGGAUUUGCUAGCUGUCUG